rnacentral:rRNA from 1 species
UACGUAGGGUGCGAGCGUUGUCCGGAAUUAUUGGGCGUAAAGAGCUCGUAGGCGGUGUGUCGCGUCGGCCGUGAAAACCUGGGGCUCAACUCUGGGCGUGCGGUCGAUACGGGCAUCACUGGAGUUCGGCAGGGGAGACUGGAAUUCCUGGUGUAGCGGUGAAAUGCGCAGAUAUCAGGAGGAACACCGGUGGCGAAGGCGGGUCUCUGGGCCGAUGACUGACGCUGAGGAGCGAAAGCAUGGGUGGCGAACAGG